AACAAAACAAAAACAAAAAAACAAGCAGAUCUCUCAACUUGGAAUGCUGCUGCUUCUCCAUGCCAACUGGAAAACUUCUUUUUCUUUUAGACUCAACUCAAAUAUGAUCCUCCCUGAAGUCUCUCCAUCUUUCCUAGACACAAUUAGCAACCAGUUCCUCUGUGUUCAAACAGCACUUCGUGUGUAUGUGUAUGUAUGUGUAUUUAUCAUUAUUAUUAUCACCUUUGAUCACUCUCCCUGAAGGUAAUAGCCAGGCACUUAGUAUAGAGUAGGUAUCAACAAUUGCUUAUUGAAGGAAUAAAUGGGUGAAUGACAACUUUGCAAAGUUUCAAUUUUUAAUCUAUUGAUUUGAAAGAAUUAU
rnacentral:lncRNA from 10 species